ensembl:lncRNA
AGAGAGAGAGAGGUAGAGAGAGGUAGAGAGAGGUAGAGAGAGAGAGAGGUAGAGAGAGGUAGAGAGAGAGAGAGAGAGAGAGAGAGAGAGGUAGAGAGGUAGAGAGAGAGAGAGGUAGAGAGAGGUAGAGGUAGAGAGAGAGAGAGGUUGAGAGAGAGAGGUUGAGAGAGAGAGGUUGAGAGAGAGAGGUAGAGAGAGAGAGGUAGAGAGAGAGAGGUAGAGCGAGAGAGGUAGAGAGAGAGGUAGAGAGAGAGAGGUAGAGAGAGGUAGAGAGAGAGAGGUAGAGAGAGAGAGGUAGAGGUAGAGACAGAGGUAGAGAGAGGUAGAGAGAGAGAGUUAGUGUUCUGGUGGCUCUAUUAUAGUGUGG